rnacentral:tRNA from 1 species
GCGGGAUUAGUUAAGUGGCAUAAUAUUAGCUUCCCAAGCUGAGGUCGCGGGUUCGAUUCCCGCAUUCCGCACCA